CCUCCAGCCCAGACUUAGCCAAUUUUCAGCUUCGUCCGUUUUCGCUCCGUUUUCGUUCGUUUGACCUCCGAUUCGUUUCAAAUCGAACCGAGACUCUCCAAACAUGUUUUCAAACAUGUUUUCAUCAUCUUUCCAUUCUCGCUAAUGCCGGAUUUAGCUCACGGCCCAACUUAGCCUUUCGGGUUCCGUUUUCGCGCCUAUGCGCACCGAAACGCCCGAUUGCUCUAGAACUUCACCAAACUUCACCGAGACCAUUCAAAUAGCUCUCCAACCAAAU
rnacentral:lncRNA from 1 species